rnacentral:misc_RNA from 1 species
GCCAUGGUUGGCAUGUUCCAUAGAGGUGUCCAGUGUGAUGGUUGUGGGGUUCAUCCCAUUACUGGACCUCGGUACAAGUCCAAAGUAAGAGAGGAUUAUGAUCUUUGCAGCAUCUGCUUUGCAGAAAUGGGUAAUGAAGCUGAUUACGUAAAGAUGGACAGGCCAGCGUUUUAUCGACAUCCACGGUCAUUCAGGGGGUUACAUGAUCCUGCACAGAAUUACUGGGUUGGGCCCCCAUCACCAUCACCUGUCACAAGACAUGUUGGGAUAAAGGCAGUGCGAUCCAAUCUGGAA